GUUGAACACUGGCGGCGUGCCUAAUACAUGCAAGUCGAGCGAACAGACGAGGAGCUUUCUCCUCUGACGUUAGCGGCGGACGGGCGAGUAACACGUGGAUAACCUACCUCUAAGUCUUGGAUAACAUCGUGAAACCGGAGCUAAUACCGGCUCAUAUAUUCUACCGCUUGGUUCAAUAGUGAAAGACGGUUUUGCUGUCACUUUUAGAUGGAUCCGCGCGGCAUUAGCUACUUGGUAAGGUAACGGCUUACCAAGGCGACGUCGCGUAGCGGACCUGAGAGGGUGUACGGCAACACGGGAACUAGAACGCGGUCCAAACUCCAAGGGGAGGCAGCAUUGGGAAAUCUUCAGCAAUGGGGAAAAGCCGAACGGAGCAACGCGGCGUGAGUGAGAAGGGUUUUCGGUUCGUAAACCUCUGUGAUGAGAAAAGAACAAAUGUGGAAGAAACUAUGCUCGUCUGAAGGGUACCAAAGAAGAAAGCCCCGGCUAACUACGG
rnacentral:rRNA from 1 species